UACGUAGGGUGCAAGCGUUGUCCGGAAUUAUUGGGCGUAAAGAGCUCGUAGGCGGUUUGUCGCGUCGAAUGUGAAAACCCGGGGCUUAACUUCGGGCUUGCGGUUGAUACGGGCGGGCUGGAGUUCGGUAGGGGAGACUGGAAUUCCUGGUGUAGCGGUGAAAUGCGCAGAUAUCAGGAGGAACACCGGCGGCGAAGGCGGGUCUCUGGGCCGAUACUGACGCUGAGGAGCGAAAGCGUGGGGAGCGAACAGG
rnacentral:rRNA from 1 species